UGUAUAUAGUUUUGUAUUAGGUUAGAACUUUCUUAUUUAGACAAAAGGGGAAGAUGUAGUGGGUAGCUGUUCUAGCUUUGACCUGGAAGUACAACCCCCAUUGAGGCUUCCGUUAACUGUCACAUCUACAAGGUGGGGCCGAGACAGGAAUCCUUAAGACCUGAGAUCCGAAUGUGCUGGCUCUCUUGGUUUCUGGAUGCUGGAUGCUGACUACUGGCUGUAGAUCAAGCAAAGUUCUCCAGACAACACUGCUGGACUGCACUUCAUCUCUCCUGGACCCUGUAACCUAUCCCUUUACUUGACUAUGAGUAACAAUAGUGAAGAAGAGGAAACUUGACAAAUACCAGUCAACAAGAAAAAUGACUAAGCCAAGUCCAGUAUGUCCGAUGGAAACCCAGAAACCAGAGAGAAUACACAAGCUGUCAUGCCUUAAAAGAUGAAUGGAUCAUAGCACACUAAGUAAACGACGUAUUCUAUGGCAUUAAAAGUUUCAGUUUGGAUGUGAAAAUGGAAAUAUUUAAUCAGAAGAAAAUUCAGUGUGCCAGAAGAUUUUAAAACACCAUUAGUCUUGAAAAAAAAAAAUCCUCAUAUUGAAGCCCUUCACAGAUAAUGAGAUCCAAAUAAUGAUUCAGGAAUGGCAUAUGUUAAUGAAGGAGCACCGAAGACCGAGCAGAAAGGCAUCUUCCUGUCAUUUUGUAACUUUUGUUUAAGGAAAUUGAAAGGUUUACAGAAAGCACAUAAUGAUUUUAGACAAUGGCUUUGAUCCAUGCCAGGCCUGAGAGGAAGACAGCUCCUUUAAAUUUGAAUAAUGCUGCUACUUAAACACUUAAAAAUGAAGCCUUUGACAAAUUGCCUGCUAAAUAAAUAAAUAAAUGAAUGAAUAAAUAAAUAAAUAAUAAACAAUGAAUAUCCCAAGAGAGCCAGCGGCAGACUAUGAAGCCUUUAAGAAUGGCCUUUGAAAUUUAUCUGCAUAAUUUUCAUCCCAGUAUAUUACCUUCAGGAUUCACAAGCAUUCACAAUCUUGCCCUGAAUCACAGAAAGAAUGUAUGGAACCCACAUUUCAAUAUGAAAUUUAAACAUUUGCAAUGAUAGAACUACACAACAAAUAGAAAACCCAGGCAUCAGAGUUCAGUUUGGUCCACCCUAUUAAAUCCUAACAGUCUUGAAAAAUGUUAUGAAAUUCAUUCUUUUCCUAUGUCUUCCUUGACAAACAUGUAUUCACUUCUUGUAGUGA